AUUGAACGCUGGCGGCAUGCUUUACACAUGCAAGUCGAACGGUAACAGGGUGCUUGCACCGCUGACGAGUGGCGAACGGGUGAGUAAUGCAUCGGAACGUAUCCAAUAAUGGGGGAUAACGCAUCGAAAGGUGUGCUAAUACCGCAUACGCCCUGAGAGGGAAAGUGGGGGACCGUAAGGCCUCACGUUAAUGGAGCGGCUGAUGCCUGAUUAGCUAGUUGGUGAGGUAAAGGCUCCACAAGGCGACGAUCAGUAGCUGGUCUGAGAGGACGACCAGCCACACUGGAACUGAGACACGGUCCAGACUCCUACGGGAGGCAGCAGUGGGGAAUUUUGGACAAUGGGCGCAAGCCUGAUCCAGCCAUGCCGCGUGAGUGAAGAAGGCCUUCGGGUUGUAAAGCUCUUUCGCAAGGGAAGAAAAGACACUCAAUAACACCGGGUGUUCAUGACGGUACCUUGAUAAGAAGCACCGGCUAACUACGUGCCAGCAGCCGCCGUAAGAC
rnacentral:rRNA from 1 species